CGCACCACUGGUACAAGUGUUUGUUGUGCUUUAACACAUUUAGUCUUCUUAGUCGUCCGCGCGUUUUCUUUUCUCUAUCGGAUUUAUCAAACGUUUUUUCGAGGGGAUAUCGGAGCAGUGUGGUACCCGUUGGUCCAGGAACACCCGGGGGAGGAAUUUCUAACAGCCGGAACUCGGCGAACCCCUGGGUAGCGCGGGAUUAACAAAAACUAUGUCACGUGACACGGUGCUUGUCCGCUGACUGCACCGACCGACCUCUGACCCCCCACUGCACCUGUGCAUGGAGCGUCACUUGCUCGUCGUCUGCUGCCACCGGCUUGGUCCACACCUGGUCGCACCCACACGUCUGCACUAGGGUGACGUCACGCCGCCUACGUCACACGCACGGUUCGUCUGAGUGACGUCGCGACAGGCUCGUUACGGUGACGUCACGCCCAUGGAAGGAUCGCUAGAGUGACGUCACUCACGGAUUUAUCUCUUCUGGGGAGAAGGAAUUGUUAUUUUU